rnacentral:rRNA from 1 species
ACUAACGCUGGCGGCGCGUCUUAAACAUGCAAGUCGAACGGUAGCCUAUAAGCUUGCUUAAAGGUGAGAGUGGCGAACGGGUGAGUAACACGUGGAUAAUCUGCCUCUGGAUUGGGGAUAACUGUCCGAAAGGAUAGCUAAUACCGAAUAAGAUGGUGGUUACAUAAGUAGCAGCCAUUAAAGGUGGGGACCGCAAGGCCUACUGUCUGGAGAUGAGUCCGCGGCUGAUUAGCUUGUUGGUGGGGUAACGGCCUACCAAGGCGACGAUCAGUAGCCGGCCUGAGAGGGUGAACGGCCACAUUGGGACUGAGAUACGGCCCAGA